UACCAAGUAUACAAAUGAUGCCAUAUAGGAG
rnacentral:piRNA from 1 species